rnacentral:rRNA from 1 species
AUGGCAACCGAGGCCGGCCACCCUGCGUGGUUCCUCACCGCCGCCCAAGGCUUCGUCGGCGACCGGUCCAACGAGAGGACCGCCACAGGCUUCACGAGGCACGGCCUGAGCAUCAAGGCGUCCUUUGUCGCCAACCGCCCGCCUCAACCAUCCAAGCUGUGGGUGCACUGCCCGGAGGCCGUGCACGUCGACACCCCCCGUGUCAUCUGCGUCGCCGGCGACCUGAUCCUCUUCCGGGUGGACAUCUCCCCCGAUUGUGUCCCAGACAGCCGUUUCUCGACGCGGAUGGAUUGCGACUAUUUCAUCUACCACGCUGACCCCAAUUUGCGAGUGCUCACGCUCCUCACCGACAUGCGCACCAGAUGUUUCGAAGACACCGAGGUUGGUAUUCUUUCCCGUGGUCUCCACCACUACACCAUCGCUGCGCUGGUUCCUUGUCCUCUCAGCUUCCACAAGUACGAGCUCCAUUUGUUCCACUCCGAGACAUCGAGCUGGACCUCCAUGGAGCUUCCUGUGGCGAAGCCACAGCAGGAAUUCGAUUGGGUCAUCCCCUUUAACACGGAUCUUUAUUACCAUACUACUUCCAACGUCAUCACAAUCGGUGGUGAAUAUGGCACCAUUGGCUGGGUCGAUCUCUGGCGAGGCAUCCUGUUCUGUGAUGUGCUGCGUGAGAAGCCAACUCUCAGCGGAAUACCGUUGCCGCUGCCAAUGGAACAGAUCACCAGCGGUCAUCAUUUAGGUCGUGCAAUGGAUUGCCGAGGCAUUGCCUUCGUCAAUGGCUGUCUCAAGUUUGUUCAACUGGACAUCAUCCCCAGUUACGACACAGACAACAUGGACCCGGAAACAGGGUAUCCAACUUUGCUGGUGGAUGACUGGGCGAUCUCCUCAUGGAUCAAUCCCACGAUGGAGAAUUCUUACAAAGCUUGGGGCGAGCCUGAAUGCACGGUCCAAGCUGCUGGCAUCACAAUCAAAACCGAUAUGAUUUCACACCUGACUGGUGUGCUGCAGCUUGCAUCAGAUGAGAGUUUUGCUGACUACUUGCAGCACCUUGUGGUCUCUGACCCCUCUCCGAGCUUGGAUGAUGAUGGUGUUGUUUACUUAAUUGCCAGGGAGAAAUUAUGUCACCAAAAGUCAUGGAUCCUUGCUCUUGACAUGAAUACAAAGAAGUUGCAAAGUGUUGUUCCGUUUGGCAUCGUAAAAGUAGAAGACCCAAGUGAUUCUGAUUUUGUCAAGUAUUGCACUGGCAGGUCUUCCUCCAAUACUUGA